CUUUCGGCGGCCCCCAGCCCUCAGAGUGAAGCUGUUGCCAAUGAGCUGCAGGAGCUCUCCUUGCAGCCCGAGCUGACCCUCAGCCUCCAUCAUGGCCGAAACCCCAACCUUCCUCCGCUCAGUGAAAGGAAGAAUGGUAGCAAGUUCCUGGGGAUUGUAAAGAGUUCCCUGGUUGCUGGUAAAGUUCCCCGAGAUGUGUGCAUUCUGAGUAGUGAUAAAGUGACGCUUCGCUGGCUUUUAACCAGAAUCCUGCAUGUGAUCCAAAGACUGAACAGAGUUAUGUGAGCUUCAUCGUCAUCGUGCAGAGGGAAUUCUUUCCGAAGCAGCAAAUGGGACGUUGUUGAAGUCAGCUUUAAAUAUGGAAAUUUUUAUGCCAGAGCUACUAACUGCAUAAAGGUCUGAGUUGGCUCUUAGAAGACACGCAGUGAGGAGUGCACAACUGUGAGCUGCAACGUUGCUGAGUUAUUCCAUUCAUGAAAGAUUUGAACAUAACCUUUUGCUGCCUUUUAUCCCUGUGAUUAACUAUUGAGUAAUCAAACUGCUGUUGUUGUGUUAGUCAAACCAGGGCUAAAGGAUGGUACUAAUUAAAUAUGUAAAACAUGCUUUCCAUUUUUAUUUUUUAAUAAAAACUUUAAUGUAGAAGACUACUCACUAGAAUCAUUUAACUGAGCAGUACCUAUUUCUAUUGACAGCUUUAAAUUUAAACAAGAACCUGCUGGAAGUCCAGUAAAACCUGGAGCUUGCGUUUGUUGAAUUGUAAAAUUACUUAUUAAAAAUAGUAUUUUUUUUUCAGUUGGUUUGAAAAUGCUCUCUGUGCAUUCAUGUUAUGCAGUGAGUGUUGCACUACAGGUUGAGACAGAGGGAGGGGAAAGAAAAACACAUCCAGGCAGAUUUUUGUCUUUAUCCCUUCUAUGAACUAAGAUGUGUGCACACAUGCUCUAUUUGUUCUAAAACAGGGAAGAUGUGGCAGACACGAAACAAAUAUUCACUGACUGCUUUGAUUCCUAACCUUUCUUAUGGCUCCAUCUUAUUUUAGAAUAAUUAGCUAACAAGAAAUAACUUCAAGGGGUGUGUGUGUACAGGUGCACCACUUUCCAGUUUACAUACUCGAUUAUGGUCGGCUUGCCAAUCUUUUGUACCAUUCACCAAUUGAUAUUAAAAACCAAAUGAAAGCUUAAAAUGUAUGUAAGCUCAUGUCAGGUUUUUUUGUGCUGUAACUUUAAGCAGAGUAUUUCUUGCUGAGAAAUUAAUGCAUUAUGUAUUAUGGGCUGCGCUUAAUUGCCAUUACUGUAAUCUGUAAGCUACCCUUUCAUUUACAUGAUGAAUAUAAAAUAACCUUCCGUGUGCUCUGCUCCCUCUCUCUAAGCUGAUAACGCCGCUUGCACCAGACACGCCUUGCCUAAAAAAGUGCAGCGUGGACACAUCCGCUCUGUCUUCCGCUUACCUGUUACCCCUUGCUAUCCAACGUUCACAUUUAAGAGAUGACUAAUAUUUAACAAAGCACUUAGGUUUCUAUUCCUGCUUGGUGGCAGGAAUUCAGAUUAGGGUUUAGAUCAGGAUUGUUUUCUUUCUUGUAGUGGUAGGAUUCAUGUCCAGUCCGUGCUUUGCUCACAGGAUUUAAAAAGCAAAUAUUUCUAAGUUUCAAUAUGAAGCAGUCUCUAAAGUAUGCCCAGAGCUGUAUAGAGCAGUGGUAGAGGUUACAUGGAACUGUUGAGGUUUUGGGAAUGUCUCUGGUUUUGUCUGAUGUCAUGUGGAAACGGACAAAUUCUUAAUAUUUUUAACCCUUUGCACUCUGCUUUUUUACCAAUCGUAGAUAGUUCCUAGAGCAUCAUAAACAAAACAGACAACAACAAAUAACCCAAGCCUAGUGAACAACGAUGAUGAAACAAACAACCAAACAACAACAACAAAAACAGUUACCUACAAUUUAAUGUCACAUCGGGAUGCCCCCUGUUGCUGUGCUGAUGCACCUCAGUUUGGACUUAGAGCACCCUCUGCUGUUCUGACCUUAGGGCUCUUCCAAGAAGUGUCUGGCGCUUGUUUCUAAUUCUCUUUUCAAAGGGAGAAACCUCAACUGGUCAUCUUGUGAUGGUCUCAGCUUAUUUUCAUUUGUGACUAAGCAAACACGAGCUCUGCCCGAUGGAAGUGAAACUAGAGUCUUUAUCUUAAUGGGAGAAAUAUUUCUUCCCCUUACUUCCCCCCCACUAAUUUAAUUACAUUGGCACGGCUCCCUUUUGUGCAUAACUUUAGUGUGUUUUAAGAAUGUUGUAGAAUUUACCAGUAGUUUUUUUUUUUUUUUUUUUUUUUUUUUUUGGUAGAUGGAGUCAUAAAGAAACAGAAUUAACCUUCAGGGUCACAGAGCUGCAUCCCCUGCUGUUGCAAGUAGCGAGGUCCUAUCCUGUCCUUCACAGUUUUACCAAGCACCGUUUUAAAAAAGCAGUAGAUUUCUCACUUGCCAGCAGCUCACACUGGAAAGCUGACCUAGAAUUUCCCUUUGGUUAAAAAUAUUCUAACUUUCAAUAUUAAAUGACUAUGUAUUUUAGUGCCUUUUAGUUGAAACAGCUUUUUGUACUUAAACUGGUGCAAACCUUAAUGCAGACUAAAUGUUUUACGAGAAGAAGCUGUACCCAAUUUACAGUGUCCUGAAGUAGACAAGUGCUAAAGUAGCGUCUCUUAUUGUGACCUGAUGAAUGCUAUUUUAUAUCUUUCUAUCCUGAUGCUUAUUUUAAAUCAUAUUCUCCAAGUAACAUUAAUGACACUUAGUAGGCAUUAUGCACAGGAUGGGAAUCCCAACAGGUUAGGAACCUACUUAAUUAUCCUGUGUGAGAAGUAGGUUGAAAAUUUGUUUUUAUGGUUCUUUGUAGUCUCUACCAUUUUCUCUGCCCUGGCUGUUUUUUCUCAGAAAUGAGUGUAUUCCAAAUAAAGAAGCUGCAGAUUCCAGGGAAGCACAGGCUGACUAAAUCAGUCUGUAAUGAGAAGUGGUCUUGAUGAUUUUGUUUUCUUUUUCCUUUUCCUGCUGGAGAUGACUCUGAAGCUGUUUUUCCUUGUGUUUUUCUUUCAACAUUUAAUAUCUGGAUUUUACAUUCACUGAUGUCAACUAAAAUAAAUGAUGCACCAUUGAAAA